rnacentral:rRNA from 1 species
GAGUUGGACCAAGCAACCAACAAAUUUGACCAUAAUCGCAUCCUUGGUGGCGGUGGCCAUGGCACAGUGUACAAAGGCAUCUUAUCUGAUCAGCGUAUUGUUGCCAUUAAGAAGGCCAAAAUUGUUGUUCAAAGGGAAAUCGACCAGUUUAUCAACGAGGUUGUCAUACUUUCACAGACAAACCAUAGGAAUGUGGUGAAGCUCUUUGGGUGCUGCCUAGAGACAGAGGUUCCUCUACUUGUUUAUGAGUUCAUAUCGAAUAGAACUCCCUCAUUUCAUCUCCAUGGCCAAAGUGAGAACCCAUUAUCAUGGAAAGAUAGGAUGAGGAUUGCACUGGAAACUAGGGCCAUUGCAUAUCUACACUCUGCUGCUUCAAUAUCAGUAUACCACAGAGAUAUCAAAUGUGCAAAUAUACUACUUACUGAUACUUUAACAUCAAAAGUAUCAGAUUUUGGAGCUUCAAGGUCAAUUGCAAUAGAUGAGACAGGAAUACUUACAACUGUUCAAGGAACCCAUGGUUACCUUGAUCCUGAAUACUACUACACUAGUCGACUCACGGAGAAAAGCGAUGUUUACAGCUUUGGUGUCAUCCUAGCAGAGUUACUGACAAGGGUGACACCAGUUUUUCAUUCCCAUUCGUCAGAAGUCACAAGCCUAGCAUCGCAUUUUGUGUCUCUUAUAAGGGACAAUCGAUUAUUAGAUAUUCUGGAUACACAAAUUGUUGAGGAGGGAGGGGUUGAAGAUGCUCAGGUGGUUGCAAGACUGGCAGAAGCAUGCUUAAGUUUAAAAGGUGAAGAAAGGCCUACAAUGAGACAAGUGGAGACAACACUUGAGGAUGUCCAGAACUCAACAGUCAAUCUUAGUUCUCAGAUCACAAGAGUGAACCGCAAUGCUAUAAAUGAUCAGUCAUACAAGGGAAGCAAAGGCGGAGAAGGAACCAGGUUGUACAGCUUGGAAAAAGAGUUCAUCCAAUCAUCUGAAAUUCCAAGAUGA